rnacentral:rRNA from 1 species
GACAGCAGUAGCCGCGGGAAUACGUAGGUGGCAAGCGUUGUCCGGAAUUAUUGGGCGUAAAGGGCUCGCAGGCGGUUGCUUAAGUCUGAUGUGAAAGCCCCCGGCUCAACCGGGGAGGGUCAUUGGAAACUGGGAAACUUGAGUGCAGAAGAGGAGGGUGGAAUUCCACGUGUAGCGGUGAAAUGCGUAGAGAUGUGGAGGAACACCAGUGGCGAAGGCGACUCUCUGGUCUGUAACUGACGCUGAGGAGCGAAAGCGUGGGGAGCGAACAGGAUUAGAUACCCCCGUAGUCCCUGUCUCUUAUAA